rnacentral:rRNA from 1 species
UACGUAGGGUGCGAGCGUUAAUCGGAAUUGCUGGGCGUAAAGCGUGCGUAGGCGGUUCUCCAAGUCCGUUGUGAAAGCCCCGGGCUCAACCUGGGAAUGGCAGUGGAAACUAGGGGACUGGAAUCUGGCAGAGGGGGGUGGAAUGCCGCGUGUAGCAGUGAAAUGCGUAGAGAUGCGGCGGAACACCGAUGGCGAAGGCAGCCCCCUGGGCUGAGAUUGACGCUCAGGCACGAAAGCGUGGGGAGCAAACAGG